AAUCAUUCUCGUUUGCCCUAAAACAUUCCCAUCGCGAUUCUUCUCUCAACGAAAUUGAUGCCGCAGCCGCCCAAGAAGCUGCCGGCGGAUGACUUCUUCUCCCCCGCAUAACUCGAUGAGACGACGUGGGUGUCCCUCAACCGCUAGGACUAGGUGUGAAUAUCUACUAUGGGGGUAAUAUAUUUCGAACGUCUUCUCAUAAGUAUGUUGGAGGGUAUAUGAGAACAUUUCAAGAUUUUACCGUAGAGGCCAUUACCGUGGCAACAUUGCAUUCUUGUGUUGCUAGUUGUGGACUUGAAAGACAGUCCGAGUAUGCAUUUUUCAUUUUUAAUGAUGGUCGUUUUGAAGCUGUAAUAGACGAUGUCAAUAUUGUUGAAUAUGUGAGGGAGACAAUGGGUUUAGGGCUUGGUCAAAAUGUGAGUUUUUUCUUGGGGAAUGUUUGAUAAAAGACAAUGAUGAAAUGUUGUCAAAUGAAGAUAGCGACUAUGUGGUGGAGAGCAAGAGUGUUGGGGAGGAUGAUAUUUUAUUUUCAGAGUAUGUUGACUUGAUAGAUGAGGGAGAGGGUCAUGUGGGUAGUUGUGACGAGGUCGGUUGUGUAGUUUGACGGUGGAUGGUCAAAAGGGGCCAUCUAAAGUCAUUGAUGAUGAGGCGGACAUAUGUUUAUCUGAUUUGGAUAUUGGAGAUGAUGUUUCAGAAGAGAAAAAUAGUGAAAUUGUGCAUGGUGAGUUAGAUGUUUCUCCUGAUUGAGGCGAUCUGAAUGUGAGUGACAACGAUGGCGAUCACAAUGAAGUGGUUGUUGUUGGCAGUGACGAAGAAAUGAGAGAUUUGAUUGCGUAUGAUGAGGACCGGGCUGGCCCAAGCAAAUUCAGCACCUUCCGUAAGGUUGACUUGCUUAGUACGAAAUUUGAAAUUGGAAUGCAUUUCAACAAUAGGACAAAGUUUAAAGAUACUUCAACUUAUAUGCGGUGGUAAGUAAAAGGCCUAUUCGGUUUUCAAAAAUAGACAAAGAAGGAUGUUAUGCUGUUUGUAGGAAUGAAAAUUGAAAAUGAACAAUUAAUGCUCGUGUGAUGAGUGAUCGAAGGGCAUUUAAAGUCAUUCUUUUUCACAGUGAGCACAAUUGUGAAGAGAAGUUUAACGUUGCCAAUAUGAAGACAAAAUGGUUUAGUAAGAAAUAUUGUAAGCUUUUCAAGUCUGAUCUGAAACGCAACAUGAAUGCAUUUCGUGUUGACGUGGUUAACGAGUUGAAGGUCAAUGUGACGAAGAAUAUGGCUUACAGAGCCAAGAAGAAAGCGCUACAGGACCUAGAGGGCGUUCCUACCCAUCAAUAUACCCGUUUAUGGGAUUAUGCCAAUGCGCUCAGGGGAGCAAAUCCGGGUUCAACUGUUUUACUUGGUUGUGAAAGGGAUGGGGAGGAUUCUAUCUUUGAUAGGGUGUACAUUUUUUUGAUGCGUUGAAAAGGGAUUUCAAGGUCGGAUGUAGACGUUUAAUUGGUGUGGAUGGUUGUCAUAUGGAUGAGUCAUUUUUACAGCUCUUGGGAUUGAUCCCAACAACUGUAUAUUCCCCAUUGCAUAUAUGGUAGUUGCUAGAGAAACAGUAAAGAUCUGGACUUGGUUUUUGACGAUCUUGAAAAGGGAUUUGGAUAUAGGAAACCAUCAUGAGGUGUGUUUUAUAUGCGACAAGCAAAAGGGACUUGUAAAUGCAUUAGAGAGUUUAUUUCCGGGUAUGGAGCAUAGAAGUUGUGUACAACAAUUACAUAACAACUUCAUGAAAGCAGGAUUUAAGGGAUUAGCGCUAAAGAAUGGAUUGUGGAAAGGUACAAGGGUAGCAACUGUGGGAGAAUUCAAGACAGCAAUGUUGGAGCUUAAGCAGAUUGAUAAAAAAAGUUGUGAAUGGUUGGAAAAUCAGCCGGCAAACGAGUGGAGUAGGUCACAUUUUAAGUGUCUUUCGAAGUGUGACUUUCUUGUGAAUAACCUGUGUGAGAGUUUCAACAGAUGUAUUAGCGAUGCCAGGGCAUAUUCUGAGCAUGUUGGAAUCGAUUCGGGAGUACUUGAUGGAAAGGCUUCAAGAAAAUAGGGAUUAUGCCCGGAGGCGGUGGACUGAUAAAGUCAUAUGUCCAAGGAUUAUGAAAGUACUUUAUAGAAAUCGGGCUAAGGUAGGUGAUUGUAUCCCAUUGAAAUCUGAUGAUACACAUUAUCAGAUUUCCUAUUUCGACGGUAGUUAGCACUGUGUGGACUUGUCUGCUCGGAGCUGCAUGUGUAGAAGAUGGCAGCUGACUGGAAUCCCUUGCCAGCAUGCCAUUUCAGCCAUCAACAACCAAGGAGAUGAUGCGAUAAAUUAUGUUGAGCAAGUAUACUAUGUUGAAACAUAUAAUCAAUUUUACACCUUCUCCAUCAAAGCUGUUAGCAGUGAAAAGUUUUGGGAGCCAACCAACUUCGUACCACCUAAGCCACCACCAAUAGAAAAAAAAGGCGUUGGUAGACCGAAGAAGCUGAGGAAACGGGAAACUGGAGAAGGCAAGAAAAAGGUUAAGGUAAAAGAUAGCACCCAGAGGCUGAAAUGGUAGCAACAAUCAAUAAAAUGUGCGACUUGUCGAGAAGUUGGCCACAAUGCACAUUAUUGCCCCCAAAAUGUCGAUAAACGGAUUGUUGAAAUUGUGGCUGUUGAGGCCGCAGUGCCACUAUGAAAGGGAAUACGCAAUACAUCUGCAAGUUCCAUCCAACCGAGGCGUAGUCUUUGGUUGCAGUCAAACAGUGAGGGGCCACAAGAACAAGUUGUUUCAAUAUAGUACAGUCGGACAGUUGGUUCGGAGAUUCUCACACAAAAUUCACAAUUAAUCCCCACGAAGAAUAGUCGGUUACAAGAUCCUCAUAAUUUGCCAUUUCCUAUUCCACGUCAUUCAAAACGACCACAACGGAAGAGAAACAUCACUCAGGCAUUAAGCACAUGUCAAGACGACUGCCAACCCACUUUGCAAGAUGACUUCCAGCCCAUAUAAGCAAUUCCACAGAGUACGCUAAAGGGAAAGGAAAUAGUGAAGGUAGCUCCAAUAAAGCCUUCACAUGGCCCUCCAAUGUUUGAACAAGGAAACUUUGGUGGUAAAAAAUCAAAGAAGGAGAUCCAAUUACCACUUUCAGAAAUGCCAGCAACUGUACGGGCAAUGGAAUUGAGAUGACUGAUUGAGAAGAACGAAAAGUUCCUUGGGGAUGACAAACCACGAAGGAGAGGAUGACCGAAGAAGAACGUAUAAUUUUAUUUCUAACUAUGCGCAAGUUGUGGUUGAUGACACAUGAAUGCAUGGUUAAACAAUGACUUAAUUUUGGGUUUAGUUAUGUUCUGCUACAGCUUCAGUUUUGGGUACUGCGUUUUGUGUUGAUGCUCACCUUUUUUUGUUUGAAAGUGGGAAGAAUCUUUAAUAUGAUAUGUUAGGCUAACUUUUUGAUGUUCUACAA